GUGAUGAUUGCUGGAGCUGAUUGCUGGGGGAGCAAUUUGAGCAUCCUUUCAAUCUCUACGUAAAUCUGACCCCCUGAAUGCACACACCAUAGUACUGUUGCUGUACCGCACCCAGCGAUCCUCUUUCACAUGCCAAUGACCCCCCAGCAUCUGCCUGAAUGCCCCCAGGCUGGGCUCCGAAAGACCCCAAAGCGCCAAAGUCAACGCCCUCAAAUGUUCUACAGUGACCGGAACGGUGGCGUCCACCCAGGAGCCCGACCUCUUGCCCCACAGAUGCUUCCAGAAACGAGGUAACAAGGGCCAACCGAGACAAUGAGGACGCUCACUGGUUUGUUGAUCAACCCCAUGCGAUGGACCAGUAGGAGGCAAGAAAGUUCAUAGGCAUUGGAACAACUCUCAAACUAAAUGAAUUGUUCACAGUGGGAUAUAGUGGUUUGUUGUGUUUUUGUUGUUGGGUUUGAGCUGUAAGCAAAAGAAAAAGGGGUUAGCCUGUCGCCUGAAGAGCAGCCAGGCAUUUGCCGUGACCCUGGGCGGAUAUCAGGCCAAAUGCCAUGGGCAGUGUGCUCCACUGAUAAGGUCACUUUGUGGUGAUCCAAUACAACUGAACACGAUUUGGCUUUUAAGGAACGUCCUUUGUGUGGGCUACUUGCAGAGAGCUGGUGGUCCCAGGCCUUACCUAAU
ensembl:lncRNA